rnacentral:rRNA from 1 species
UACGUAGGGGGCAAGCGUUGUCCGGAUUUAUUGGGCGUAAAGCGCUCGCAGGUGGUCCGUCGCGUCGUGCGUGAAAGCCCCCGGCUCAACUGGGGAGCGUCGUGCGAUACGGGCGGACUGGAGGCCAGUAGGGGGAUGCGGAAUUCCGGGUGUAGUGGUGGAAUGCGUAGAGAUCCGGAGGAACACCAGCGGCGAAGGCGGCAUCCUGGACUGGUCCUGACACUCAUGAGCGAAAGCGUGGGGAGCGAGCCGG